rnacentral:tRNA from 1 species
AAUUAUUUAGCUAUUUAAGCAUUAUGUUUUGAACACAUAACACAGAAAUUUAUUUUCUAAUAAUUU